GUAUUUAUCUUCCCAUGGACGCAAUUCUGCGGAGCAAUGCCGCGUGAGUGACGAAGGUUUUCGGAUCGUAAAACUCUGUUGUGAGGGAAGAACAAGUACCAAGUAACUACUGGUACCUUGACGGUACCUCACCAGAAAGCCACAGGCUAACUACGUGCCAGCAGCCGCUGGUAAUACGUAGGUGGCAAGCNGUUGUCCGGAAUUAUUGGGCGUAAAGCGCGCGCAGGCGNUUNNUUAAGUCUGAUGUGAAAGCCCACGGCUCAACCGUGGAGGGUCAUUGGAAACUGGGGGACUUGAGUGCAGAAGAGGAAAGUGGAAUUCCAUGUGUAGCGGUGAAAUGCGUAGAGAUGUGGAGGAACACCAGUGGCGAAGGCGACUUUCUGGUCUGUAACUGACGCUGAGGCGCGAAAGCGUGGGGAGCAAACAGGAUUAGAUACCCUGGUAGUCCACGCCGUAAACGAUGAGUGCCAAGUGUUAGGGGGGUUUCCGCCCCUUAGUGCUGCAGCUAACGCAUUAAGCACUCCGCCUGGGGAGUACGGGCCGNAAGGCUGAAACUCAAAGGAAUUGACGGGGGCCCGCACAGCGGNGGAGCAUGUGGNUUAAUU
rnacentral:rRNA from 1 species